rnacentral:rRNA from 1 species
GAUGAACGCUGGCGGCGUGCUUAACACAUGCAAGUCGAACGGUGAAGGCGGAGCUUGCUCUGCUGGAUCAGUGGCGAACGGGUGAGUAACACGUGAGCAAUCUGCCCCUGACUCUGGGAUAAGCGCUGGAAACGGCGUCUAAUACUGGAUACGAGCUGCGAAGGCAUCUUCAGCAGCUGGAGAGAAUUUCGGUCAGGGAUGAGCUCGCGGCCUAUCAGCUUGUUGGUGAGGUAAUGGCUCACCAAGGCGUCGACGGGUAGCCGGCCUGAGAGGGUGACCGGCCACACUGGGACUGAGACACGGCCCAGACUCCUACGGGAGGCAGCAGUGGGGAAUAUUGCACAAUGGGCGAAAGCCUGAUGCAGCAACGCCGCGUGAGGGACGACGGCCUUCGGGUUGUAAACCUCUUUUAGCAGGGAAGAAGCGAAAGUGACGGUACCUGCAGAAAAAGCGCCGGCUAACUACGUG